ACGCUUGAAGUCAGUCGCGUCAUCCAGGGAUCAACCUUGCUUUUGCUUGGUGCAUUUUCUGGUUUGACGGGUCAGCAUCAAUUUUGACCGUUGGAAAAAGGCUGAGGGAAUGUGGCAUCUUUAAUGGAUGUGUUAUAGCCCUUGGUCGCAUACAAUGGUUGGGAUUGAGGAACUCAGCACGCCGCAAGGCCGGGUUUUUUAAACUACGUACGUGCUUAGGAUGCUGGCAAUAUGGCUUUAAUCGACCCGUCUUGAAACACGGACCAAGGAGUC
rnacentral:rRNA from 1 species